GACGGAGGGUGCUAGCGUUGUUCGGAAUCACUGGGCGUAAAGGGCGCGUAGGCGGCCCAUGCCGUCGGCUCGUGAAAGCCCGGGGCUCAACCCCGGAGGUGCGGCCGAGACCCAUGGGCUGGAGGCCGGAAGAGGAGGGUGGAAUACCCAGUGUAGAGGUGAAAUUCGUAGAUAUUGGGUGGAACACCGGUGGCGAAAGCGGCUCUCGGGUCCGGUUUUGACGAUGAGGCGCGAAAGCGUGGGGAGCAAACAGG
rnacentral:rRNA from 1 species